rnacentral:rRNA from 1 species
CGGGUGAGUAACGCGUGGGUAACCCGCCUCAUACAGGGGGAUAACAGUUAGAAAUGACUGCUAAUACCGCAUAAGCGCACAGUGCUGCAUGGCACAGUGUGAAAAACUCCGGUGGUAUGAGAUGGACCCGCGUCUGAUUAGCUAGUUGGUGGGGUAACGGCCUACCAAGGCGACGAUCAGUAGCCGGCCUGAGAGGGUGAACGGCCACAUUGGGACUGAGACACGGCCCAA